CCCCUCAUGGCUCAGCUGGUAGAGAAUCUGCCUGCGAUGCAGAAGACCUGGGUUCAAUCCCUGGGUUGGGA
rfam:Ovis aries breed Texel chromosome 17, whole genome shotgun sequence.